rnacentral:rRNA from 1 species
UAUUAUUUUUCUUGUAGAUUAGAAUAAGUCGGAGUAGUAAGAGGUUAGUCUUGAAACUCAAAGAAUUUGGCGGUGUUGUAGUCCUUUCAGAGGAAUCUGUUCUGUAAUCGAUAAUACACGAAUUGUUAUACUUUAUCUAUUGGUUUAUAUAUCGCUGUCAUAAGAUUAUUUUAUGGAGAUUUUUAAGUUUCUUAAUUUUAUAUUGAAAAAUAUGUCAAGUCAAGGUGUAGCUUAUGAUAAAGAAGAAAUGGAUUACAAUGGAUUUAUUCAUAUGGAUAUAAUGGUAAGGAUUUAUUGAAGGUGGAUUUGAUUGUAAAUUAUUGUUAG